GUCCCAAUUUGCUGUGAUGUCUUGAAUCUUGUCCUUUUUCCUGUAAUCUGAUUCUAGAACUCAUGAUAAGUAGUUUUUAAAAUAAAUUGUCCUUUGCUGAUUAUUUCAGGGCUUGUUGAUGUAGGAAACUCGGGACUGAGUCCCUUGGGGUGGAACACAGGCAAAGUGAAAACUAUAAUACUUAUUUCUCCUGGAGCCUCGGAAUGUCAAACUUGAAAAGCAGCCUGGACUCUUGGUCUUUUUUGAUUUGAAAUGUUGAAAGCAAAAUAAAAAUAUCCUCAAGGACUUUCUGUUGUUCCAAAUAUAAGCUUAAUGAGUUUUGAAAUUCUAUAUCAGAAAAUGUCUUGUUUUAUGGGGGAAAGACUUAGUUUUCAGCUUUAAUAUAGCUUGAUGAUUUUUUUUUUUUGCUGUGUAAUGCCUUCACCUUACCACCGGGAAACAGUUUUGUGAAAGCCAGAAGAAAAGGACUUAGAAUUUUAAAAAAGUAUUUGAGGUAGCUUUCCUAAAAGUGAAUCUAAAAAUAAAGUUAAGUAGAU
rnacentral:lncRNA from 1 species